rnacentral:rRNA from 1 species
UUAUGGCUCAGGAUGAACGCUGGCGGCGUGCUUAAUACAUGCAAGUCGAACGAAGACAGUAGCAAUAUUGUCUGAGUGGCGAACGGGUGAGUAACGCGUUGGUGACCUGCCCCGAAGAGAGGGAUAACAGUCCGAAAGGAUUGCUAAUACCCCAUGUGGUCGUUUGGAUUAGAUGCCUUAUGACUAAACGGAUUUAUUCGCUUCGGGAGGGGCCUGCGUCCCAUCAGCUAGUUGGUAAGGUAAUGGCCUACCAAGGCGAUGACGGGUAGGGGACCUGAGAGGGUGGCCCCCCACAAUGGAACUGAAACACGGUCCAUACACCUACGGGUGGCAGCAGUAGGGAAUAUUGGUUAAUCUGGGAAACCGGGAAAACCCAGCAACGCCGCGUGCACGAUGAAGGCCUUCGGGUUGUAAAGUGCUUUUUGAAAGGAUGAGGAAGGAUAGUACUUUCAGAAUAAGCUUCGGCUAACUACGUGCCAGCCGCCGC